GGUAGUAUACCGCACUGGUGGGGUAUGGAUCCGAAGCCUCUAGAAGGAUAACAAAGGCUCUCCACACUCUACUCCUACUCAAUACGUCCCCGGCGUACAGAGC
rnacentral:ribozyme from 1 species